UGAUUUUUUUAUUUUUUAAUUCGAGUUGUUCAAAUUAGAAUGGACGUAAAUUUCGGACGCGUAAAUCUCAGCAGCAAGCGAUGGCCGAGCUCGCCGGAGCGGCGGUGGAAUUGCGAGAAGGAAGAGAGUCAAGGAAGGUAGCACCGAGAAAGUGUGUGAAGCAGCUCGGAUUCAGGUCUGAAAGACUACGCUGCAUGAUGCAAAGAAUCGACAUAAUUGACCACGACAAUGAAGCUCUAGCACUUAGACCAGUUUUAGGUUCACAACCCCUCAAAUGAAGGAGGAAAGUCAGUUGAAAUUACAAAAGUUUGGUACAGUUCUGGGCGUUCAAGGAGAUCUAUGAUCAGGAUACUAUUGGUGCACUUGAGGAUGAAAUAAUUAAUGGGGUACCAGCUAGGACUUUGCCAGGGCUUCCAAAAGAGCUGCCCGCUUCAAUAGAUUCGGCUCCUGCUAGGCCACUCUCUCCUGUUUUACAGCUUUUUAUGCAUUCGCUUCUGUUCUCAUUGCAGGUUAUUAUGCUGAGAAAUGAUAUUUUCUAGUAAAAUGGGAAAUGAUCUUUGUUAAACUUCUUUUUGGCGUGCAGGAUUGACACAACAUUCAAAUAGCCAUACCGUGCACCAGUGGCAACCUGACAGGCUAAAGUGCCGUUCCAAGUUUUCCCGAUCCAGAACACCUCGAUAAGCCUAUCACCCUGGGCCAAGCACUGUCAAGAUCCAUUACACCACAGCAAUUUUUACCAAAUACAAUACCCGCUGCUGCCUGCUUUUGUAAACUCCAUGCCUUUGCCAAUUUCUGUUCAUUAACGCCACCACAGCUUGCUGCUGUGGGUGAAAAUUUGCCACCAUAUCCUUUGUUCCCUCCUGGUAUUAUUCCUGGAAUGGUGAGGAAGAUGCAUAUUGGAAGUGGGGUCCCAUACUCUCCCAUGAGCCCUCUGGAUAUUCCAACUAUAAUUCCUCCAUCCAAUAUAUCUCCCUCAGAAGUUCUUGAGAGAGAGUCUAAGUUCUUUAAAGAGAUUGGAGAGGUUAAUCCCUCGUAAGGACCCAUGAGUUCUGAUACCAAAUUUACUCAAAUUUACAAUUAUGAGCAUGAGAGAGAACCGCCAGUAUGCAAGGGUGGAGCUUGAGUUCCUCCUCCCAACCUUCUGGUUGAUCCAGAGACUGGUGCUUACGCUGACGGGAGUGUAAAUCGGGAAGGUUAAGACUUGGAGCAACACUCAAUCCAAAUGGGAAUAGUCAAUAUGAUGAUGUUUAUACUUCUUAUAGGAAGCAAAGAGAUUCCACUUACCAUUCCUCUAUGAGUGUUAGGGCAACAACAAAGUGAAAAAAGAACCGUUGAACUCAUUACUAGGAGUGACCAUAGUUUGGAACAUCAUAUUUCUUUUGGGUACUUCAUGGAACUCACAAGGAUGUCUUAUUUGGCAAAAGCAAAUUCAAAAUUUCAAAAAAGGCAGUGUGAAGAUCUUCACAAGUACAAAUAGAUCAUGUAGCCGACAGAAGAAUAGUUUGGAAGAAACCUCCAAGUUCACUUUCAAUGCCCAAAGUGAAUGCCUGUCUACUGAGAUUCCAAGCCCAUUGCCAUUGGACUCUUUCAAGAUUUCUAUAUUGAGCUUUGUAAAGUUCCCUCGGGACAGUCUUAUGGGAAAAAGGCUUUCCAAUUCCUCACCAUUUUUGUUCACUCCAAGGCAAGAAUCAGAUGGUAACAAUUUUCCACUCCAUUCUCUGUUCUGCUGUGUAUUUUAACCUUUUUCCUGAAUCAAAUAGGUAUUGGACAUAUCUACUCCCUUAUUUGAAUUUAAAAAGAAAAAUAUAAUCUUUUUAAUGUUUA